UGAGUUGGUUGGUGGAAAUGGUAAUGGUGAUGAAAAUACUGAUGAGGUUACUCAAGAGGUAGCUGACGUUAAAGACGUUAACCUUUCAGACUCUUCUCAGGUGUCUGCUGAACGAACUUCAAGGGAUGUUGUCUCUGUUACGGCCGACUCUUCAGCCGUUGAAGUUGAAAAGGAUUCUGGAUCAAGUCCCAAUGGAAAGCGGAUGGCUCAA